rnacentral:tRNA from 1 species
AGGGUAAGGAGUUUCUAUUCUUGAUUUCUAAUCAAAUAUUAAAGCAGUUAAACUCUGCUUUUACCCUU